rnacentral:lncRNA from 1 species
GAAUUGUUUCCUAAAUUCAUUAGAAAUAAACCCACGUUUAACUGGCCAGAAUUGUUUUCCUAAUUCUCUUCCUUGCCUCCAAAACCUUUUCCCCAAAUAAUUCCCUCCUCACUUUGCCACUUUAGUUUAAUCGGCCAAACCUAAUUCCAAUUCUCCCACCCUCCAAAUUUCUUGUGUGUGAUAUCAUUCUUUCUCCUGGAUUUUGCAAGAAAUUUUAUUCAGCUCGUCAAAUUGCCACGAUUGGCUGCAGUCGAUUUUGUAGUCGAUUUUGCGAGAGGGAAUUAUUCAGCCACGAUUGGCUGUGAUAUAAUUCUUUCUCCUGGACAUAAUAUUCAUCUUGGGUCAAAAAAAUUUCGGCUGAAUCGACUACACAUUUUGAGCUCUUCAAGUUGUCUUCAAGGUAUGCCAAUAAUCCUACUAUUAAUUUGUAAAUUGUCUGGAAAAUAUAAGUACAUAAUCUUGAAUUUUGAGAUUACGUUUUCAAUUUCUUGCUAUGGAAAUACAAAUAAAUAUGGAGGCUGUUCUUCUGUAUUAAUUUUGAAAUUACAUUUUGAGAUUUGGCAUAUUUGAAGUUGUCCUUUUUGGUUGGUUGUUGCGCUAAGAUAGAGUGGGAUUUUAUCCCCAAUUUUAGGGAGAUCACGGGACUAGGAAAUAAAGGGGAAGUGGCUAGAAGAGGGGUAAUGGAAUCUGCCGUAGCUACUGGUGUUUGAUAACUGUGCUAUACAGAACACAAGCUUUCCCAUUGGUUCAAUCAAAAACUAAGCACUUCUAAUGGAUUUUGUUAUACACGUGAUUAUUUUAAUCAAAGGAUGUCAGAAUUUGCCAUAGAUUAAGGGGUAAUGGAAUUUUUUUCAAGGCAUGGGGAUAACAUAACAUGGGAAUAUAUGAUUUUUCUUUGGUGGAGUGCAGUGCAAUUUGCUUGCUUUGUGACUUUUGGCAUUAUUUUUGAGAUUUUAAUUCAUUUUUUCGAUUUUUCGAAGAAGAUGGUUUUUCUGAAUUAGAAUGUGUAUACUAUAAUCAAGAA